UCCCUGAUGGUCCAGUGGUUAGGAAUCUGCCUUGCAAAUGCAGGGGACAUGGGUUCAAUCCCUGGUUGGGGAA
rnacentral:tRNA from 1 species